GGGUUUCAUAGUGCAAGGAUUCAUUUGAAAACGGGUCAAAUCCGGAAUUUAGCUUUUGUGGAAGAUUUUUGUAAGGUUUGUGAUCGUUGUGCUCCCCGCUCACCCGCUUAAGCUCAUUCUAACAACUUCUAAAGCUAAGGUAAUCAAGUGAAUCAAAGACGUGAUGGAUGAUUGCAUUGCAUGUGAUAGGAUUGAGCUUGGACUUCUAUGGAUCCGUGAUUCAUUGCACCCGUUCAUGGGUUAUGCCUAGGAACAUUAGCCAUCAUUGAACUAUCUUUUGUAAACUAU